UACGGAGGGUGCGAGCGUUGUUCGGAAUCACUGGGCGUAAAGGGCGUGUAGGCGGUCCGCUAAGUCUGAUGUGAAAGCCCGGGGCUCACCCCCGGAAGGGCAUUGGAAACUGACGGACUCGAGUCCCGAAGAGGAGGGUGGAAUUCCUGGUGUAGCGGUGAAAUGCGUAGAUAUCGGGAGGAACACCAGUGGCGAAGGCGGCGACCUGGGCCAAUACUGACGCUGAGGCGCGAAAGCUAGGGGAGCAAACGGG
rnacentral:rRNA from 1 species